GAUGAACGCUGGCGGCGUGCCUAAUACAUGCAAGUCGAACGAGGUAGCAAUACCUAGUGGCGCACGGGUGAGUAACGCGUGGAUAAUCUGCCUUCGAGUGGGGAAUAACUAGUCGAAAGAUUAGCUAAUACCGCAUAAGACCACAAGAUCUAAGGAUCUAGAGGUUAAAGGAGCAAUUCGCUUGAAGAUGAGUCCGCGUGAGAUUAGCUAGUUGGUGAGGUAACGGCUCACCAAGGCAACGAUCUCUAACUGGUCUGAGAGGAUGAUCAGUCACACUGGAACUGAGACACGGUCCAGACUCCUACGGGAGGCAGCAGUAGGGAAUAUUGCGCAAUGGAGGAAACUCUGACGCAGCGACGCCGCGUGAGUGAUGAAGGCCUUCGGGUCGUAAAGCUCUGUCGCAGGGGACUAAGAAAGUGAAGGUACUCUGCAAGAAAGGAUCGGCUAACUUCGUGCCAGCCGCCGCCGUAA
rnacentral:rRNA from 1 species